CCAUCGUGCUUUGCGGCAGCGGCUGGCACGCCCGGGUCCCGGCAUGGACCCGUGUUGGGGCUGAAGCUCUGGGCGGCCCAGGAGAUGGGGCUGCCCCCCGCGAAGGUGCCCCCUGACGGGGCCUUCCGCCCGAUGUGCUCAGGCCAGUGUGUGGAGAUCUGGAAAUACGUCACCCAGCACGUGCACCACCAGAGGAAUGUGAAGACGAUCCGAGGGAACUUGCUGUGGUACCAGCAUCUGGAGGAGACAGAGGUGAGUGGGCCGGUGGAGACUGCUGGUUGAAUGGAGCAUGGGGCAGGUGUGGAUAGGGGCGUGUGGGUGAGGGCUGUUGGUGGGAUGGGACGAGUGUUGUGGGUGGGAUU